AGGAAACUGCCUCUGCCGUCGCCGGAGAACCCUGCCGUUGAUCCACUGGAGCUUCUGGCCGCCGCCGGAGCUGUUGCCGGGGCCGGUUCAAAAUCGCAGCUGCUUCGUGUUGUUAUUCCGUGUUGCUAUGGUUAUUGCGAAAGUGGCUGGGAGCUGAGGUU